rnacentral:tRNA from 1 species
GGUGGCUCAGUGGUAGAGCACCUGCCUUGCAUGCAUGAGGCCCUGGGUUCGAUUCCAGUACCA